rnacentral:sRNA from 1 species
AAAAAUAUUUAAGAUAUACUUAGUAGUUCGAGCGUUCAGUUAUCCAUUCAGUUUCAGUUCGUAUCUGUUUGGGUCUAAUGUUUAAUAUCUAUUCGCUUAUUUUGAAAUUUGGGUUUGGUUCCGGUUCUUUCGGUUUAAAUAUUUAGUAUCCAUUCGGUUAUUUUGCUUUGAAUAUUUUCGGAUAUUUCGGUUCUUUUUGAUUUUUUUUGGAUAUUUUCAAGUAUUUUUACUAUUUAGUCAAAAAAUAACUAAUAUUUUUGAAAAGAUAAUUAUAUUUCGGAUAUUUUCGGUUACUCAAAAUAUUUUGGUUCGGUACCGACUCGGUUUUCAUUUCUUCGGAUUUGGUUCUGUACGUUCGGUUCAAUUUAUUUUUCCAGGUCUAAUAAUUAGGAUUUUAGAUU